rnacentral:ncRNA from 1 species
CAAAAGGCGAGGAAGGGAAGAAGGCACGGUAAGUCCCGCUCAGAGAGCCGGUGGUUGGUGCGAACCGGUGUGAGGACGCCGUGCGGAUACUGGUCCCUGAGCCGUCCGCCCGAACCGCAGUAGGGUGGAACGUCUGGCCCCGUUACCGGCCACGGCCUUGUUGGAGGCCAAUGAGCGCCUGCCGGAGACGGCUGGCGGAAGCAGGGUGGUACCGCGUAUUAUACGCCCCUGAC